CCGGCUGCUGAGGCUAGUGGCGUUGUUGCUGGGGCGGAGGGAUACGUGUGCGCUCCGCCUUGCGCUAGUGACAGGCCGGGAGGCGCGGAGGAGGGGAAUGGGCCGCCGCUGUGAGGGGAGCCGGACGCCAGCUGGCGCCUUCUGCGCGGUGGGCUCCGGCGGCUGAGGCGUCGCGGCAGCUGCGGAAAGCGAAGGUUCAUUUUCUACUCCUUUUCACUGGAAACAUAAGAGGAAGAAAAGAUCUACAAUUUCAAGGAGGAUACAAGACUUGGCAGUGCAAGUUGUUUGAUGAUCUCCAUAUCCUAUUUAAAAUGUUUGUUUGUUUGUGCAUGUUUAUGUGUGUCUUUCUGUCCUAUUGUGGAACUGUUUUGGGAAAUUGUUUUGUAAGAAAUUUGCUUGUUCACAAAUGAGUGUUAAUUCUAUUUCAGUCUUGUUUUGAUUUGCUCAUCUUUUGCAUUAAAUAAAAUCUCCAUUGAUGCUUUA